CUCAACUAUAGUCCUUCCUCUUCAUGUGCGGAGAAUGGCGGAGAAAGUUAAGAGGCUGAAAUGAGGAAGCACAAGAAUUAGCAUCUUUAUUUCACAGUGUAGCUAGACUUCGAAGUCUGUAUUUGCUGUCGGUGUGUGCAUUAUCUUCCGGCUACUCUCACUGAGACUGAGAAGGCUGUUUUCAAUCGGACUGUUGCUGUUUUGCAGUGCCUAAGAUGAUCUCCUCAAGCAGUUCCAAAAGAAACAGAGCCACUGACAUUAAACAGAUUUACACCAAACCUUCCCUGAGGAGAGGCCACUCAGAGCCUGCUUGCUUCCAUGAAAUGGAGGGAGAGAAAAAUAUUAGAUGAAUAAGAAAGCUUGUACACCAGUGCCUUGUCCUGCUGUGCUUCUGACAGUGUGCCCGGUCCACCGAUAAGCCACAGGCCAGUUCACCGGGAGAGGCCACGCUGGCUGGGAACCUCAGACCUCAACAUGGCCUCUUUCUUCUCCUCCACACUUACUUCUAAGACACUUGCCUACCUGAGCAGGUGUUGCUGGGCCCUGCAGGUGGCUGAGUGCGAAUGCGUUUUCCUGGGAUUGAGAUGACAUUGGGAAUGAGAUGACAAAGUCAGCGUCAUCUCCUGGGACUUGGACAAGAAUCAAGAAGCCCAGAGCAAGAACCUGAGCAAGCCCAGGGCAAGAACCAGAAGGGGGACAGUUUGAGAAGAAAUCGAGGGGUCCAUAGUCUCUCCUGAAGGAGAAAGAAAGUGGUCACAUUCUUGGGCAGAGGCUCUGUGGUGUAAGAAAUAUAUUUGGUCUUUGUCUCAGGUCCUGGCACAGAGCUCCUAAAAUCCUGGAAUUUCCUGAGUGAUAGGGAUGUCUUUUGCUAUUCCUAAAGAGCGCCUUCUGAUCGCACCUUGGUUUAUGCUUAUAAGGUGACUUGGAAUGCGGUUCCUAGAGAGCCAAAGGAUGUUUGGGGUCCUAGAAAGACUCCGGAUGGGGCUGGUCACUAGAAAAACCAAGUGGUUAGAGAGUUAGAACUCCCAGACCCAGCUAGCAGCCACCAUGAAGAUUUAGCCCUGUAAAGACUCUUGAUGUGAGUGAGAGAUUUGGAGAACUUCUGGAUUGGUGCGCGCACAUACACACGGAGUGCUGCGGAGAGGGGACAUGCGCAGAGGGGCCCAGAAGCCCCACCCCUGCCCCUGCCCCUUGCUCUGUGUGUCUCCUCCACCUGGCUGUUCCUGAGCUUUAUCUUUUACAACACAUUUGGUAAACAAAAGCGUUUCCCUGAGAUCCAUGAGCAGGUCUAGCAAACCAACCUGAGGAGGGGCUGCGGGAACCCCUGAGUCAUAGCUGGUUGGCCAGAAGUGUGGGUGGUCUAGGACUUUUGACUGGUGUCUGAAGUGGGGCAGUUUUGGGACCGAGCCCUUAAAUCUGUAGAAUUGGACACAAACUUCGGGUAGUCGGUGUCAGACGUGAAUUCAAUGUUAGGGCUCUCAUUUGGUGUCCAGAGAUUUGGGGAAAUUGUUGGUAGGGAAAAAAGAACUCAUGUGUUGUCAGAAUUCUGAGUAAAAAUAGUGCAGAGUCAUUCUGACCCAAAAAGGCCAAGAGGAGUAGAGCGAUGGAUCAAGGGGUCCCUGGGCUAGAGUGAGAAUUAUGUGGAGGGAUUUGAGGUGAGGGCUGGGGAGUCCCUCCGAGUGGACGAGAGGGAGUGGAGGGCACAGCUUUGUCCCACAGGUGGGGCCAGGGCGUUGCAUCAGCAGGUCCUUCUGCCAAAGGUGCCACCGUGCACUCAAACCCAGAAAAUACUGAUGACAGAUGUUUCCAUCUGUGACUCUCAGCUGGUGAGCGCUGGUGUGGCAAGGGUUAGAGCCCUUCUCCCCACUGCCCCCCCAAGAUCCCUGAACAGCUGCUUGGAAUCAUCACCCUUUCUUAGAGCCCCGGGGUGUCUGGCAGGAGAGCCAUGCCCCUUAGGCAUGCUGGGAUAGCAAAAUGAUUGAGAAGCAGGGUCCAAAUAGAUGAUCUCAGUGACUUCCAAAAUGGAGAGGCUUAUGGCUUUCCCAAAGCUCCAGGAGAAUUAGAAUCCCAGGAAACCCACCCGUGGCAUCCACCGGUCUUGGACCCAACAAUGGCUUCCCAUCUCUCUAAGAAAGUGCCCUGCUGUGCACUCCAAGAAAUUGGGGGGCAAGUAUCCUGUGCCAAGGUCUCUGUUGAGUGCAAGUCUUCUGAAACAACUUGAGAGUAUUGCAUAUUCCAAGGGAUUAAGUUUAAGGCUACUUAAAAAAAAAAAAUCUGUAGGUUGCCAGAUAUUUCAUUGUCCUGUGUGUAUUUUUCAGAAUAUUUUAUCUCUUCUUAAUAACACUUUUUUGUACUAACUUCUAGGAAAAUAACUCCAAGGUGACAUAAGCAACGUUGCUCAAACUUUCACGUGUGUAUGAAUCACCCGGGGUUGAUUGUGAUGCAGAGGGUUCAGGCAAGGGCCUGAGAUUUUGCAUUUUUAAGACAUUCCUGGGCAGAGCUGGUUACAGAAUUUGCAGGGCCCUGUGCAAAAUAAAAAGGCAAGAGCCCUUACUUAAAAAUUAUUAAAAAUUUCAAGGUGGGGGUGCGCGGGUUGUGUAUUUGGUUAAAUGUCCAACUCUUGAUUUCUGCUCAGGUCAUG